rnacentral:rRNA from 1 species
UGGGGAAUUUUGGACAAUGGGCGAAAGCCUGAUCCAGCAAUGCCGCGUGUGUGAAGAAGGCCUUCGGGUUGUAAAGCACUUUUGUCCGGAAAGAAAUCCUUGGCUCUAAUACAGUCGGGGGAUGACGGUACCGGAAGAAUAAGCACCGGCUAACUACGUGCCAGCAGCCGCGGUAAUACGUAGGGUGCAAGCGUUAAUCGGAAUUACUGGGCGUAAAGCGUGCGCAGGCGGUUUGCUAAGACCGAUGUGAAAUCCCCGGGCUCAACCUGGGAACUGCAUUGGUGACUGGCAGGCUAGAGUAUGGCAGAGGGGGGUAGAAUUCCACGUGUAGCAGUGAAAUGCGUAGAGAUGUGGAGGAAUACCGAUGGCGAAGGCAGCCCCCUGGGCCAAUACUGACGCUCAUGCACGAAAGCGUGGGGAGCAAACAGGAUUAGAUACCCUGGUAGUCCACGCCCUAAACGAUGUCAACUAGUUGUUGGGGAUUCAUUUCCUUAGUAACGUAGCUAACGCGUGAAGUUGACCGCCUGGGGAGUACGGUCGCAAGAUUAAAACUCAAAGGAAUUGACGGGGUCAUAGCUGUUU